rnacentral:lncRNA from 1 species
AACCAUAUCACCACAAAAUGUGUCGUGGUUAUAUGUGUACAGGGUAUUGCAACACAAUAUGGGUCGUGGUUAUACGCUCAAUGGAUAUCGCAACGGAAAAUAUGUCAUUGUCAUAUGCUUGUUGGUCGUCAGCUAAAACGGAAAAUCCAAAACAAUAAUUGAUGCCACAUAUAUAUCAUUAAUUAAAUCAAUCCAUCAUUCAUGCACACCAUUCUUGAUAAAAUAGAAUAUUCGACACAUGAAAAUACUCUUGUCCAUUCAUCCACAUGACUCCCAUCCCAGCAUUCAUGAUAAUCAACUUUGC